rnacentral:lncRNA from 1 species
UACCUCCUUCAUGUUAGGAUUGAGUUUUCUUUGCAUUUCUCGGGUGGGCUUUGCAUCAUCUUCGAGAUGAAUUCGAUGCAUGCAAACAGAGGGGUCAACCCCUUUCAAAUCGGCUACAGACCAUCCUAUGGCAUGUUUAUUCUCUUCUAGCACCCUCAAAAGUUUACCCUCCUGUUCAGUAGAUAAGUUGGCUGCGAUGAUUACAGGGAGGCUAUCUUCUGGUCCUAGAAAGGCAUACUUAAGAUUUGUUGGAAGUGGCUUUAACUCAAGUUUAGGUGGUG